CUUGGUCAUUUAGAGGAAGUAAAAGUCGUAACAAGGUUUCCGUAGGUGAACCUGCGGAAGGAUCAUUAUCGUAUGAUGGAGGUGCUGGGGUUGUCGCUGACUUUUGGUCGUGCACGCCUCGGUGCUCUCACACAUAAUCCAUCUCACCCCUUUUGUGCACCACCGCGUGGGGACCCCUUUUGGCUAGUUCUGAGGGGGGUUUUCACGUUUUUACACAGACACCCCUUUUAAUGCAAUGUGUAGAAUGUCUUACUUUUUGCGAUCACACGCAAUCAAUACAACUUUCAACAACGGAUCUCUUGGCUCUCGCAUCGAUGAAGAACGCAGCGAAAUGCGAUACGUAAUGUGAAUUGCAGAAUUCAGUGAAUCAUCGAAUCUUUGAACGCACCUUGCGCCCCUUGGCAUUCCGAGGGGCACACCCGUUUGAGUGUCGUGACAUUCUCAAAACCUUCUUGGUUUCUUGACCGGGAAGGCUUUGGACUUUGGAGGCUUUUGCUGGCUUUCCUUUGUUGGAGCCAGCUCCUCUGAAAUGGAUUAGUAGGGUCUGCUUUUCCGAUCCUUGACGUGAUAAGAUGCUUUCUACGUCUUGGGGGUUCUGCACUCCUGCUUCUAACCGUCUCACAGAAGACAAAUGGUCAAGUGAUCGCCACUUGACCUAUGAACCUUGACCUCAAAUCGGGUGAGACUACCCGCUGAACUUAAGCAUAUCAAUAAGCGGAGGAAAAGAAACUAACAAGGAUUCCCCUAGUAACUGCGAGUGAAGCGGGAAAAGCUCAAAUUUAAAAUCUGGUGGUCUUUGGCCAUCCGAGUUGUAAUUUAGAGAAGCGUCUUCCGCGCUGGACCAUGCACAAGUCUCCUGGAAUGGAGCGUCAUAGAGGGUGAGAAUCCCGUCUUUGGCAUGGACCCCCAGGGCUUCUGUGAUGCGCUCUCAAAGAGUCGAGUUGUUUGGGAAUGCAGCUCAAAAUGGGUGGUGAACUCCAUCUAAAGCUAAAUAUUGGCGAGAGACCGAUAGCGAACAAGUACCGUGAGGGAAAGAUGAAAAGCACUUUGGAAAGAGAGUGAAACAGUACAAGAAAUUGUUGAAAGGGAAACGCUUGAAGU
rnacentral:rRNA from 1 species